rnacentral:rRNA from 1 species
UACAGAGGUCUCAAGCGUUGUUCGGAUUCAUUGGGCGUAAAGGGUGCGUAGGCGGCGCGGUAAGUCGGGUGUGAAAUCUCGGAGCUUAACUCCGAAACUGCAUUCGAUACUGCCGUGCUUGAGGACUGGAGAGGAGACUGGAAUUUACGGUGUAGCGGUGAAAUGCGUAGAUAUCGUAAGGAAGACCAGUGGCGAAGGCGGCCUUCUGGACAGUGACUGACGCUGAGAUGCGAAAGCGUGGGGAGCAAACAGG